rnacentral:rRNA from 1 species
AUUGAACGCUGGCGGCAGGCUUAACACAUGCAAGUCGAGCGGUAGCACAGGGGAGCUUGCUCCCUGGGUGACGAGCGGCGGACGGGUGAGUAAUGUCUGGGAAACUGCCUGAUGGAGGGGGAUAACUACUGGAAACGGUAGCUAAUACCGCAUAACGUCGCAAGACCAAAGAGGGGGACCUUCGGGCCUCUUGCCAUCAGAUGUGCUCAGAUGGGAUUAGCUAGUAGGUGGGGUAAUGGCUCACCUAGGCGACGAUCCCUAGCUGGUCUGAGAGGAUGACCAGCCACACUGGAACUGAGACACGGUCCAGACUCCUACGGGAGGCAGCAGUGGGGAAUAUUGCACAAUGGGCGCAAGCCUGAUGCAGCCAUGCCGCGUGUGUGAAGAAGGCCUUCGGGUUGUAAAGCACUUUCAGCGAGGAGGAAGGUGGUGAGCUUAAUACGUUCAUCAAUUGACGUUACUCGCAGAAGAAGCACCGGCUAACUCCGUG